AUUUUCAGUGAUCCUUGUCGCCCAUGAAUUUUACGAACCAGUUUACGACGUUCCUGCUGAGCUCCAUGAUACAGCAUUAGCGGAAUCUCUGGAGUAAAUCGCUUGAAUUCAGACAUCCAAUUUGGAAGAGUAGACAAAGGACCACAUACUAAAAAGGGACCAGGGACUCCUCGCUCCACCAUGAGUGCUAUUGUUGCAAUACACUGGAUUGUCUUUCCCAACCCCAUCUCAUCAGCUAAAAUGCCAUUGAUACCAUUUUCCCAAAGCAUCCUUAGCCAUUCCAUGCCUUCCACUUGGUACCACCUCAUUACACCUCCAGUAAAAAUCUUUGGCUGCUGAAAAGGCACUGGUUGUCCAUUAAAUUUCCGCACUGGAUCGAGGAACUGCUUGGCACUGUGUCGUACAGCUUGACACAAUCUAUCUUUAAUGACACUAUUUGAGUCCCCAUUUUUCUGCAGGUCUUCUGGACACAGGUUGCCAGCAGAGCUUUCAUCCUGAUUUUCCACUUUACUCUUUUUUGCCACUGAUAAGAUUUCCUCUUUAGACAUAAUUUCUGAAAUGUUGUACGUUCCGUCAUCUCUCCCUCUCUUCUUUUUUGUAGCCGAUUUCUCUUCUUUUCCAUCAGCUGGAUUUUGACCCUUGGCAGAUUUUAACAUCAUCUCCCUCUUUUUUUCUAACUUCUCUUUCCUUUUCUGUUCCUCCAGUUGCUGCUGCUCCAUUUUAGUUAGCAAGAACUUGGAAUAAAUGUUGCUUUUUUCAAGCAGGUGUUGAAGCCUCUUAUAGCGCAUUUCACUUGACUCCCUGUCCCAAGCACUGCGAGCCUUCUCCAUCAUCUGCCGCUCCUUCUCCAGCCCCGCCGCCUCUAGCUGCUCCUCCUCGGCCAGCAUGGCCGGCGUGAUCACCACCUCCUGCUCCCCCAUCUCGGCUCCCGGCGGCUCGCCUUCCCACGCGCAGCCAACGCCGAGCUCCCGCGCGGGUCGCCCGCCGCCACG
rnacentral:lncRNA from 1 species